GCUCCCUUUAUACACACUCGCUUCCCUGUUGCGCGUCCCGAACACUUACUCCUUCACUAGUGUAACGGGCGGGCCUCCUCCAGCCCAGCCCCCCUCGCACCACAACUCACAUUAUAGCUUAAACCAGUCAACUGGGAAGCGGAAAGGUCUCACCUUUUUAACCCCACCCCCCAAAUUUCACUUUUAAUAUUCCACUCCGGAAUAGAUAGAUACGCACAUGGGCAGUUUUAUAUGCGUAUAUACACAUUCUUGAACAAUAACUGCAAAGGUGAGGAUGCUCUUCAACUGCGCCUACGCCAUUUGGAAGCUCUAGAAAUUGCAGAUAUUUUUAUCUCGAGGAAGAAUUCCGUAAAUUGACUGUCCAAGAAACUCAUGCCAUGAAUUUGAGGCAACGCCCACUUCCAACGCGCGGCCGUGCCCCCCACGCGCCGCCCCAGCCACCGCCGCACCCGAUGUUGUCUGAGCCCUUCAACAUUAUUCCCAUCCAUAACCUACUCACAGACCAUCCUUCCCUCCGGUACCCAGAGGUACGCGCCGCAGCCGCCGCCCUGCGUUCAGCCGGGGACCUCCGCAAGCCGCCUUUUACCGCAUGGCAUGACACCAUGGACCUCUUUGACUGGCUGGGGCUCUUCUUUGGUUUCCAGGCCGACAACGUUCGGAACCAAAGGGAGCAUUUGGUGCUCCAUUUGGCCAACUCGCAAAUGCGCCUUCAGCCGCCGCCGGCCGCCCCGGACCGCCUAGACCCCGGCGUCCUUCGCCGCUUCCGCGUGAAGCUCUUGAAGAAUUACAAUUCUUGGUGCUCUUACUUGGGAAAAAGGUCUCAAGUGCGUCUCCCCAAUCGCCACAACCCCGAUCUCCAACGCCGUGAGCUCUUGUAUGUAUGUCUUUAUCUACUGAUAUGGGGUGAAGCCGGAAACUUGCGUUUCACCCCAGAGUGUUUGUGUUAUAUAUAUCAUCACAUGGCAUUGGAACUCAAUUACAUUCUUGAUGAUCAUAUUGACGAGAAUACUGGACAGCUUUUCGUUCCCUCUACUUGCAAACAAUUUGGUUUCUUGAAUGAUGUUAUUACACCGAUUUAUACUACAAUUAAGGGUGAGGUUGCGAGGAGUAGAAAUGGGACUGCCCCACAUUCUGCCUGGAGGAACUAUGAUGAUAUUAAUGAGUACUUUUGGAGUAGGAGAUGCUUUAAGAGGGUGAAGUGGCCUUUUGAUUUGUCGAGCAACUUUUUUCUGGUUAGUGGUGAAAACAGGGUGGGGAAGACGGGGUUUGUGGAGCAGAGAACAUUCUGGAAUGUGUUUAGGAGCUUUGACAGGUUAUGGGUAUUGUUAAUUCUGUAUUUUCAGGCUGCUGCCAUUGUUGCUUGGGCAGGGAGGGAGUAUCCGUGGCAGGCAUUGCAAAGCAGGGAUGUGCAAGUCCAGUUGCUUACAAUUUUUAUCACGUGGGCUGGUUUAAGAUUUGUGCAAUCAAUUCUUGAUGCUGGUACUCAGUAUAGUUUGGUUACGAGGGACACAAAGUUGCUUGGGAUCAGAAUGGUUUUGAAAAGUGUGGUUGCUCUGACUUGGGGUAUUGUUUUUGGUGUGUACUAUGGGAGGAUUUGGAGCCAGAAGAAUUCUGAUGGGUCAUGGUCAUAUGAGGCAAACCAAAGAAUUCUUACUUUUCUUAAGGCUGCUUUAGUCUUCGUCAUUCCAGAAUUACUUGCAUUGAUCUUGUUCAUUCUUCCCUGGAUCCGCAAUGUGAUUGAAGAGGCGGAUUGGCCAAUUCUUUACGUUUUAACAUGGUGGUUUCACACCAGAUUAUUUGUGGGCCGAGGGGUCAGGGAGGGGCUUUUGGACAACAUAAAGUACACUGUGUUCUGGAUCAUGGUGCUGGCUUCGAAAUUCACUUUUAGUUACUUUCUUCAAAUCAGACCUCUUGUUGGACCAACAAGGGCUUUCUUAAAUCUCAAAGAUGUCACAUACCAGUGGCAUGAAUUUUUCACUAGAACCAACAGGGUGGCAGUGGCAAUGUUGUGGGCUCCUGUUCUCUUGAUAUAUUUAGUGGAUAUGCAAAUUUGGUAUACAAUAUUCUCCUCUAUUGUGGGGUCAAUGACAGGGUUAUUCUCACAUUUAGGGGAGAUUCGAAAUAUUAACCAGCUUAGACUUAGAUUCCAGUUUUUUGCAAGUGCUCUGCAGUUCAAUCUGAUGCCAGAGGAUCAAACUCUUAGUACGGAGGCAACCGUUGUGCAUAAACUACGCGAUGCAAUUCAUCGUGUUAAGCUCCGGUAUGGGCUUGGCCAGCCAUACAAGAAGAUGGAAUCGAGUCAGGUUGAGGCUACUAGGUUUGCAUUAAUAUGGAACGAAAUAAUCAUCACUUUAAGAGAAGAAGACCUCAUCAGCGAUCAGGAACUGGAGCUACUUGAAUUGCCACCUAAUUGUUGGGACAUCAAAGUGAUACGUUGGCCCUGUGCUCUUUUAUGCAAUGAGCUGCUGAUUGCUUUGAGCCAGGCUGGAGAACUGGCGGAUGCACCUGAUAGAUGGGUGUGGUUUCGUAUAUGCAAGAAUGAGUAUAGAAGGUGUGCAGUCACAGAAGCUUAUGAUAGCAUCAAAUACUUGCUUCUUGAGAUCAUUAAAUACGGAACAGAAGAGCAUUCCAUAGCUACAAAAUUUUUCAUGGAGGUUGACGAUCACAUUCGAUUUGAAAAAUUCACGGCAGCCUAUAGGACAACAGUUCUGCCCAAAAUUCAUGAGCAUUUAAUAUCUCUUAUUGAGCUUCUCCUCAUGCCUGCAAAGGAUAUGGAUAGAGUGGUGAACGUACUGCAGGCCUUGUAUGAGCUUGCAGUUCGGGAACUUCCGAGGGUGAAGAAGUCUGUGAUUCAGUUGAGGCAGGAAGGUUUGGCACCCGUGAAUCUAAAUACUGAUGAUGGGCUGCUAUUUGAGAAUGCUGUUCAAUUGCCUGAUGUUAAUGAUGCUUUCUUCUAUAGGCAACUGCGUCGUCUGCACACAAUUCUCAAUUCUCGGGAUUCAAUGCACAAUGUCCCAAAAAAUCUUGAGGCACGAAGACGGAUUGCUUUCUUUAGUAAUUCACUGUUCAUGAACAUGCCUCGUGCACCCCAAGUUGAGAAAAUGAUGGCCUUCAGCGUCUUGACUCCUUACUAUGAUGAAGAAGUGUUGUUUGGAAAAGAAAUGCUUAGAAGUCCAAAUGAAGAUGGUAUUUCCACCUUGUUUUAUCUGCAAAAGAUUUAUGCAGAUGAGUGGGAAAAUUUUAUGGAACGUAUGCGCAAGGAAGGAAUGCAGGAUGACAGUGAGAUAUGGACAACCAAAACAAGGGAUCUCAGACUCUGGGCAUCCUACAGGGGACAGACACUGUCUCGUACUGUGAGAGGAAUGAUGUAUUACUACAGGGCUCUUAAAAUGCUUUCAUUUCUUGACUCUGCUUCAGAGAUGGAUAUAAGACAAGGGUCCCGAGAUGUUUCUUCACUUGGCUCGCUGAAACAGAACAGUGGAUUCAAUAGUCAAGGCAUCACAACACCAAUUGCUAGGAACCUUAGCAGGGCAGGAAGCAGUGUUAGCCUGCUUUUUAAAGGACAUGAGUUUGGUGUAGCUCUUAUGAAAUACACUUAUGUAGUUGCGUGCCAAAUGUAUGGGGUCCAUAAGGGGAAAGGUGAUCCACGUGCGGAGGAGAUCUUAUAUUUGAUGAAAAACAAUGAGGCCCUUCGAGUUGCUUAUGUCGAUGAGGUUUACCUGGGAAGAGAAGAGGUGGAGUACUACUCUGUUUUGGUCAAGUAUGACCAGCAGCAACAGAAAGAAGUUGAAAUAUAUCGCAUUAAACUACCUGGCCCUUUGAAGCUUGGGGAGGGUAAACCUGAGAAUCAAAACCAUGCAAUAAUAUUCACCCGUGGUGACGCUCUGCAGGCUAUUGACAUGAACCAGGACAACUACUUCGAGGAGGCACUCAAGAUGCGGAAUCUGUUGGAGGAGUUUAAAGUUAAUUAUGGCAUCAGGAAGCCUACAAUUCUGGGAGUUCGUGAAAAUAUAUUUACUGGUUCUGUUUCAUCACUUGCCUGGUUUAUGUCUGCACAAGAGAUGAGUUUUGUCACGCUGGGACAACGUGUUCUAGCCAAUCCUCUCAAGGUCAGAAUGCACUAUGGUCAUCCUGAUGUCUUUGACAGGUUCUGGUUUCUGACUCGGGGUGGUAUCAGCAAGGCUUCAAGAGUGAUUAAUAUAAGUGAAGAUAUAUAUGCUGGGUUCAAUUGUACACUGAGAGGUGGCAAUGUGACGCAUCAUGAAUACAUACAAGUGGGUAAGGGAAGAGAUGUUGGAUUGAAUCAGAUCUCCAUGUUUGAGGCCAAGGUUGCAAGUGGCAACGGCGAGCAGGUUUUGAGCAGAGAUAUAUAUAGAUUGGGUCACAGACUUGACUUCUUCCGCAUGCUCUCUGUUUUCUAUACAACAGUGGGCUUCUUCUUCAACACCAUGAUGGUGGUGGUCAUGGUCUACACAUUUCUCUGGGGACGCCUGUACCUUGCCCUCAGUGGUGUUGAGGACUAUGCUAGGAAUGCCAAUAACAAUAGAGCCCUUGGUUCGAUUUUGAAUCAGCAGUUCAUUAUCCAGAUUGGUGUCUUCACAGCCCUCCCCAUGAUUGUGGAGAACUCACUGGAACAUGGGUUCCUUCCUGCAGUUUGGGAUUUUGUUACAAUGCAGUUGGAGCUUGCUUCAGUUUUUUAUACUUUCUCAAUGGGAACACGUUCGCAUUUCUUUGGUAGGACCAUUCUGCAUGGGGGUGCCAAGUAUCGGGCAACAGGGCGUGGUUUUGUUGUGCAGCACAAGAGCUUCGCUGAAAAUUACAGGCUAUAUGCCCGCAGCCAUUUCGUGAAGGCUAUUGAACUUGGAGUGAUUUUGAUUGUGUAUGCAUCCAAUAGCCCCUUGGCGACAAAUACCUUUGUCUACAUUGCUAUGACUAUAUCUAGUUGGUUCCUUGUAGUAUCAUGGAUGAUGUCGCCCUUUGUCUUUAAUCCAUCUGGCUUCGACUGGCUGAAAACUGUGUAUGACUUUGAUGAUUUUAUGAACUGGAUAUGGUACAGAGGAAUUUUAGUCAAAGCAGACCAGAGCUGGGAAACGUGGUGGUACGAGGAACAAGACCACUUCAGGACAACUGGUCUUUGGGGAAAAUUGCUGGAGAUUAUUUUAGAUCUUCGGUUCUUCUUUUUCCAGUAUGGAAUUGUGUACCAUUUGAAUAUUGCAAGUGGCAACACAAGUAUUGUUGUGUACUUGUUAUCUUGGAUCUAUCUGAUUGUGGCUGUGGGUAUAUAUAUUGUAAUGGCAUAUGCUCGGGAUAAAUACGCUGCAAAUGAGCACAUCUACUAUAGGCUGGUUCAGUUCCUUGUUAUUGUACUUACAAUACUUGUGAUCGUUCUUCUCAUUCACUUCACCGACGUCAGUGCUCUUGAUUUCAUUAAAAGUUUUUUGGCAUUUGUCCCUACUGGAUGGGGCAUUAUACUUAUUGCUCAGGUCCUUAGACCUUUUCUGCAGUCCAGUGUGGUUUGGGAAACUGUUGUCUCCUUGGCUCGUUUGUAUGAUAUGAUUUUUGGAUUAAUAGUCAUGGCUCCGCUAGCAUUUCUCUCAUGGAUGCCUGGAUUUCAAGAAAUGCAAACAAGGAUACUCUUCAAUGAAGCUUUUAGCAGGGGACUUCAGAUUUCUCGUAUUCUGACUGGAAAGAAGUCCAAUUUCGACACGUGAGUUUGAGGAAAUCUGAAUUCAAAUGAGAAAUGCGUGAUCAUUGCAUUGUCAUUUCCAGUUGCGGAGUUAGAGAACAUAUUUGCAGGUACUGUGGCGUGGGUCUCAGUGAAUUCAAGCAGCGCUGGUUCAGAUGGUGGUCAUUGCCAAUAUUGUUUGGUUAAUGAAAAGUGCAGAUCAAAUGACUAUGAUGACUGGUGUCUACUUAUGGAAAUGAGCUCGAAAAAAUAGUUGGGUAGCAGUAGGAAAAGCAGGAAAAUGUUGAAAGAACCUUGUUGGUAAUACGUUUUGGGAUUGUACAUAAGUAAUGUAGCUUCCUUUGUGCAUCAGUUAAUGACCAGCGUCUCUGUUUUCUCUCGCCUUUUA